AGUGAAGGCAAUUUCGCGAAUCGGGGAUCGUUUCUGAGGAAACGAAAACACUACUUUAAUGGUCUGGCAGUGUCGGAAGUCAUGGUGUGGUCUGUUUUCGAAUGCAGCGCAUUGAAUGCUCAGAAAAGCACGAAUAUUGAAAAGGGGUUUAAAUUGAAAAUUCAUUCUUAUGAUAAAAGUUUCAAUAUUUUAUGCGCCAAAUCGCACAGCAUAGCAAUGGGAGGUACAACUGCACAUAUUACACGCGCCGUGAAGGACUCUAGUUAAUAUACGAAGUUUUGUGGGGCUAACUUGCAAAUUGCCCAUAACCCUCAUAUAAACAUCUAGGGUUUCAUCAACCCUAGAUCACCACCCUCUCCUCCUUCUCAACCCUAGCCGCCUGGGCACCCCUCCCCACUAUUGCCGCCACCACCCUGACCCCCAUCCAUCACCCCCGACCGUCGGAGUCCGGCCAGCGAACACCCUCAAGUUUCUCCCCAACUCUUCCUCUAUCCCUCUUUGCCUAUUAAACCUGAAACCCCUCUCCUCUCGACCACGCGCCCCGGACCCACGCCGUUGGCCACCAGGAGGUCCGGCGACUCUUCCUCGGUCAGCCCACGCAGUCGUACGCCCCUAAGCCCGAGGAUCACCCUAAAUCCAAGUUUUGAAGGGCGAACCCUUUGUCCAGCACUACCGCCACUCCCCGCCAUCACCGUCGACAGUUGUGGACGAGCCGCCCUAACAUCCCUUGGCCGCCCCUUUUGCUGGUUCCAAAUCUCUGACCCAAGAUCACCUUGGGUUGGUCGCAACUCUCCAACCGCUACCUCCUGCUGCCAACUGCCAUUACCUCUGUAAGGAAAUGAAUCCUCGAUACGUGAAAUCCGAGCUUCGAUCGAAAUUGAUGGAAGGCGAGUUCGGGAGGCUUCGGAAAGGCCGAAUACGUCGAAAACGAUGUUUAGAGGGUUAUAGAGGACCUUGGAGAGCAAGAGGAAGAAAUUCUGCAAAGUUGCAGAGUUUUUGUGCUCUCGGAGUCCGAACCCUUGGCAGGGACAGAACCCCGUACGCGCAGAAAGUGGCAGAAAUAAUACUGCGCCCAAUUUUUGCUCUCGGGGUCCGAACCCUCUAGAGGGACUAGAGGGUCCGGACCCCGUACCCGAAAACUGCCCAGCUAGGGCUGUGCACUAAGUGCAUUGUUGAGGGGGUUUCUUGCAAUUUUGCAUUAGUGGAGGCUAUUUGAGGNUUUGCCUAUUAAACCUGAAACCCCUCUCCUCUCGACCACGCGCCCCGGACCCACGCCGUUGGCCACCAGGAGGUCCGGCGACUCUUCCUCGGUCAGCCCACGCAGUCGUACGCCCCUAAGCCCGAGGAUCACCCUAAAUCCAAGUUUUGAAGGGCGAACCCUUUGUCCAGCACUACCGCCACUCCCCGCCAUCACCGUCGACAGUUGUGGACGAGCCGCCCUAACAUCCCUUGGCCGCCCCUUUUGCUGGUUCCAAAUCUCUGACCCAAGAUCACCUUGGGUUGGUCGCAACUCUCCAACCGCCACCUCCUGCUGCC
rnacentral:lncRNA from 1 species